UCCUGACUCGCCCUCUCCCAACAUUAACAAAUGCCAAGACAGCAAUAGGAUCGUGUGCCCACCUUCCCUGCUCCAUGCUGGGAUUUGGCUGGACGGAAGUUCUAUAGGUGUGCAUUCUGUCACAAUUGCAGUGAGUUCAUGCGUACAAUUGCCAUGUUGUAUCUGGAAACUGUUCCUUUGGAGCCGUCCGUCACCUCUGAUUCUUACAGUUUUCAAAACUCCCCUUCCAUGAAGAUCCUUGAGUGCUGGGGAGAGAUCCAGAUGGGGGAAGAGCCUAUCAUGGCAGAGAAGUGUGGCAACGAGCAGCACGUGUGUCAACUGAAGCCGGAAGCUGAGAGCUCACAACUUGAACUACGAGCGAGCGCAAAGUAAAGAGAGCGAACUGAAGUAGCCGGACUGUUCUAAGCUCCACCCCCGACUCCCAUGAUGCACUUCCUUAGUCAAGUCUACUCCAACUAAACCUCCCCAGACAGUACCACCAAGGGCCUAGUGUUCAGAUGCCUGAGACUGUGUCGGACCUUUCUCAUUCAAACCACCAAAAGAGUCUCUGUGAUAAGCCUCUUCUGUGAUGAAACUUGAGGGAUAUGCUGAUCUCUGGACAUAGCAAUCCAUUCCACUCUCAUGCUCUUCCCAGUUUCAUGGGGUAUUCAUCUUCCAUAUCACCGCCAUGAAACCGCUCACAGAAGCACCAAAAGGAAAGAAGAACCUUUUGGGAUUACGUUCCAAGGACACAAUCCACUGUGGCACGGAAGUCCUGGUGGCAAGAGCUUGAGGCAGCUGGUCACAUUGCAUCCUUAGUCAGGAAGCAGCGAGAAAUGAUGAGAGCUUACCUGUAGCACACACAACUUUUCCCUUGCACUGGCUCCACUACGCCUGAAGCUUUCCUUGGAGGAUAUCCCAUACACGCAGCAUCCUUGGCUCUCCCUUGCUUCUUAGGGUUCGUCUCCCCAGCUUCAGGCAAUGGCCUCUCAGAGCCUCCUUGCAAGGACUCCUACCCUGCCUUAACCAGCUGGUGAAGUUAUGAACUGCCAAGUUUUAUUUGGAAAUCUUAUUGAUCUUUGUGAAGAACUGAAAGUCAAUGGCACUCAAUAAAAACCUCAAACUGUUAUAAUGACAA